rnacentral:misc_RNA from 1 species
GAAGUGCGAUAAGCAAUGCGAAUUGCAGAAUUCCGCGAAUCAUCAGAUCCUUGAACGCAACUGGCGCUAGAGGGCUCUCCUUCUAGCAUGUCUGUUUCAGUGUCUGAAAACAUCAUAUUAUAACUUAAUGUGGUUGACAAGAAAGAAACUUUUAUCGUUUCUUUUAAGUCUUCCAUUAAAGAUGUACAUGUGGGUCUUUGAACCCCUUAUCGAAUUGGUCACUGGUUCUUUCAGUGAUUCCGAUAGGGUUAGAAUCAAUUACCUGUUAUACAUGUAGUCUCUAUUCAAAAACAUCAAACUAUGCAUUUGAAAUCAGGCAAGAACACCCGCUGAACUUAA